UUUUUAAGAUUUAUUUGUUAUGCAUACAGUGUUCUGCCAAUGUGUAUGCCUACCUGCCAGAAGAGGGCACUAUGUCUUAUUAUAGAUGGUUGUGAGUGACUAUGCGGUUGCUGAGAAUUGAGUUCAGGAUCCCUGGAAGAGCAGCCAGUGCUCUUAACCUCUGAGCCGCCUCUCCAUGCCCACCAUUCCUGUUUUAG